GACGAACGCUGGCGGCGUGCCUAAUACAUGCAAGUUGAGCGCUGAAGGUUGGUACUUGUACCAACUGGAUGAGCAGCGAACGGGUGAGUAACGCGUGGGGAAUCUGCCUUUGAGCGGGGGACAACAUUUGGAAACGAAUGCUAAUACCGCAUAAAAACUUUAAACACAAGUUUUAAGUUUGAAAGAUGCAAUUGCAUCACUCAAAGAUGAUCCCGCGUUGUAUUAGCUAGUUGGUGAGGUAAAGGCUCACCAAGGCGAUGAUACAUAGCCGACCUGAGAGGGUGGUCGGCCACAUUGGGACUGAGACACGGCCCAAACUCCUACGGGAGGGAGCAGGAGGGAAUCUUCGGCAAUGGACGAAAGUCUGACCGAGCAACGCCGCGGGAGUGAAGAAGGGUGUCGGAUCGUAAAACUCUGUUGGUAGAGAAGAACGUUGGUGAGAGUGGAAAGCUCAUCAAGUGACGGUAACUACCCAGAAAGGGACGGCUAACUACGUG
rnacentral:rRNA from 1 species